CUCCCCUUCCCUUCUGUUCCAUUCCCUGGUGAUGGCACAGAAUUAUCAACAACAAGCUUUUGACGGCUGAGGAUGAAGCCCGAAUCAACCAGGUACAGGCCAGGUCAUUAGCAGCAGGCAUGGCCGCCGUGCCCCGCCAAGCCCGGGUGUUGAACCUGAGACCAAGCCAGAGUGAGGGCAGUGUCAUUCCUCCUGUCCACUACCUCAACUUCUACUCCCAACACUACCACAGCCAUGAGUGGUCUGGUGUGGUGGCUGAGGAUUCUUUUGAAGAGGACAAUGCUUCUGCUUCAUCUGAGCAGGUGGUGAGCUACAGCUACCUGGCUGCACCUCAAGGCCAAAGCCACUCCAAAGAUGUGGUCUAUGGGUCUGGUGCAGCAGCCAAGCCUCCUUCCUCUGGCCACAGCUUCUCUGCCAGAUCUCCAACUCUUAGCCAGACACUUUGACUGGAAAUUCAGAAAUCUGGUCAUACAGCAGCUCCUGGCCAUGCCUCAGACCAUACUCACCUCAGCACUACACCACCUGUUAUUACUGCCUUUGAGUCCUCAAAAUUAUCUCACAUUUCCCCUUCCCCAUUAGUCCAUUCCUCAUCAUUCUCUGCACCAUCACCUUUUUUCUCCUCAUCCUUCUCACCUUCUGCUCACUCAUCAUCUCCCCCACAACCAUCACUCCCUCCUGCCUCUCCAUUUACUCAUCCUGAAGCCAUAUUUGCCAUGCACCAAACUUCUGCCACAGUUCACCCUGCUGAUCCCAGCCAAUUUAUCAUCAAGGACUCCACUUUCCAGGAGGCUCUGGAAUGUAACUCCCACAGAUGGCAAGGAAACACUGCAUAUCUUCCCUCCCACAACAGCGAUGCACUUAAUGAAUUGGGCCGAGAUAAUUAGUGAAAGCUUUCUGUGUUAAAGAGAUGCAGCUAGUGAGCCAAUAUAUAUACUGAUCGUUCAUUUAAUCCUUUAUGUCAUAAAACUUCUCUGAAAAAAUCUAGUGAAUAAUUUUUCCUCUAUCACUGCACUGUCCUUGAUCUAAAUUACAUAUUAAAACUACACAUGAUAGUGUAAUGAUCAGUAUGCUUGGCUCACAAACCACAUAUAUAUAUAUAUAUAUAUAUAUAUAUAUAUAUAUAUAUAUAUAUAUAUAUAUAUAUAUAUAUAUAUAUAUAUAUAUAUAUAUAUAUAUAUAUAUAUAUAUAUAUAUAUAUAUAUAUAUAUAUAUAUGCUUGGCUUUGUCUCCAAACUCUCCCCCAUAGAGAGACUGUAUUAACCUGCAGAAAUAAAGCUAUCAUUCAGGGAAACUGGUUUGUUUGCCAAACAAACAUUACAUUGCUGAAUAUUCUGUGGCACCAAAUGCUUUGUCAGGAAUUGUGGCAAUGAUAUUUCAAUCCUUGUCUUUGCAUCCUACAAUUUGUAUGCUGAACAUAAACCUUAUCAACAAG